UUUGAAAAAUCAAUUAGACACUGCCUUAAUGCACUCGAUUGUCAAAGGUACACAAUCGAUUAUUUUAUGACUUUGAAAAUAUCUGAUAGACACUGCAUCAACACAAUCGAUUGUCAUAAGUUCACAAUCGAUUAUUUUGUAGCUUUGAAAAACUUUGAUGUACACUGCCUCAACACAAUCGAUUGUCAUAAGGUUCACAAUCGAUUGUCAUG
rnacentral:lncRNA from 1 species